UAGUUUCAUUUCCACAUGAAGUUAGGAUAACCAUGAAAAAUCUCACCCCUCAAAAUCAGUCUCUCAUGCUCCCAAUUCUUCCCUGGUAGCAUCUCUCUCUCCCUCUCUCUAUUCUCACUCAUUUCAUUUUUCUCUAGUACCGUUCUUUACCUUCGUCAUUGCAGUUAAUGCAUUCAAAGUGUUUGUAUAAUUGCCAAGGAGAAUAAACAAAGCGUGUUGAUUUUUGUUUUGUUACUGCAUCAUUACAUUACAUAAUCCUUCAAUUCAACCAUGACCACACUACUGAAUACAGUGUGUCCAACUUCAAAUUUACCCUUAAACUCGAAACGAAACAGUUGCAGUUUCUUAAAUACCCGUGUUCAAAACCCUAAUAGUUGCAGUUUCCCUUUCAAGAAAAUUUGUUUUUCAAGUGUGUUGGCUUCGACCCGUAAGACAAAUCUCUCUAAAGAUUAUGUUUUUGACCUGCCAAAUUGGAGAGAUGGGAAGAAUGACUAUAACAGCAGGGAAGUUAGAUUGACUGAUGCAUUUCUUCAUUUAGAGCGCAUGGUGGGUAAGGGUAAUAAACCUAAGGUAACUCAAGUAACUCAGCUUUUGUAUGAUCUUUGUAAGUCUGGUAAAGUUAGAAAAACUGUUAGGCUUAUAGAGAUUAUGUUAAGUUCAGGUAUUACACCUGAUGCUGUUUCAUAUGCGUAUUUGGUCAAUUAUUUGUGUAGGAAAGGUAAUGUUGGUUAUGCAAUGCAAUUGGUUGAAAAGAUGGAAGCAAAUGGUUAUCCAACUAAUACUGUUACCUAUAAUGCUUUGGUUAAAGGGUUUUGUGUUCAUGGGAAAUUGAAUCAGAGUAUGCAGAUUUUAGAUAGGUUGAUAAAGAAGGGUCUUGUCCCAAAUGCAGUUACAUAUUCUAUCUUGGUUGAAGCUGCUUAUAAAGAAAGGGGAGUACAUGAAGCCAUGAAGCUUCUAGAUGAGAUAAUUGCCAAGGGCGGUAAGCCUAAUUUGGUUAGCUACAAUGUGUUGCUGACUGGGUUGUGUAAGGAAGGUAGAACUGAAGAAGCUAUUAAGCUUUUUAGAGAAUUGCCCGCAAAAGGGUUUAAACCUUGUCUUGUGAGUCAUAACAUUUUGUUAAGAAGAUUGUGCUAUGAUGGGCGAUGGGAGGAAGCAUACGAGCUUUUAACAGAGAUGGAUAGAGAGGGCAAGGGUCUUUCUGUAGUUACUUACAACAUACUGAUCACUUCUCUUUCUAUUGAUGGAAAAAUUGAACAGGCUUUCCAAGUUUUAGAUGAAAUGACAAAGAGUGGAUUCAAGGUGACUGCUCAUAGCUAUAAUCCAAUUGUUGCUCAACUCUGCAAUGAAGGAAAGGUGGAUCUUGUUGUUGAGUGUCUAGACCAAAUGAUUAAUCGGCGUCUUCAUCUUAAUGUAGGAACGUACAAUGCUAUUGCCUUGCUUUGUGAGCGAGGGAAGGUGAAGGAGGCUUUCUCAAUAUUUGAUAACUUGGGUAAAAAACAAAACUACCCUAUUCAUGAUUUCUUCCAAAAUAUGAUUACAUUCUUGUGUAGGAAAGGGAAUACAUAUUCGGCCUUUCAGUUAUUAUAUGAAAUGACGAUGCAUGGAUUUACACCAGAAUCCUAUACUUACUCGUCUUUGUUAAGAGGAUUGUGUAGGGAGGGAAUGCUUGAUGAGGCUCUCGAGAUAUUCGGGAUUUUGGAAGACCAUGACUAUGUGCCUCAUGUUAAUAACUAUAAUGCUCUUAUUCAUGGAUUUUGCAAAUCUCAGAGAAUAGACUUGUCAAUAGAGAUAUUUCAGAUGAUGGUCAACAAAGGAUGUAUGCCUAAUGAGGUAACAUAUACCAUUCUUGUUGAAGGGCUGGCUUUUGAAGAAGAACUGGAUUUAGCGGCUAACCUAUUGAAAGAGUUAUAUCUGAAAGGGGUUCUGGGUCAUCGUACUGUCAAAAGACUUUCUAUGCAAUACAACCUCAAGGAGUUAACAGGGUAGAGAGAGAGAUAUACAAUCAAAGUAUACGUAACAAAAGAAUAAAUACCAUUCAGUGCAAUUACAAAUGCUCAAAUCUUGCAGCUGUACUACUUUUUGGACUUUGACGAAGGAGAGAGCUAAUCGUAUCGAGUGAUUGCUAUACAGCAGAAAUUGGGCACAGGAGCAGAGGAUCUUGACACCGAGUCACUGAUUGUUCUGGAGUGUUUUCUGGUAGAGAGGCUGAAUCUAUUUUUUAAGGCAAUAAAGUGAAACAUUUGAUUUUCUGCUUACAUUCUGAGAUACAGUUAAAAUAUUAGUCGUCUGAUAUUAAGUGGGCAGUUUGAAUUGGUUGACUGCUGAUUUUCUAACAGUUGGAUAUUCAAAUCCAUGUAUCUGCCAACAUUGAGCUGUUGGUCAAUGGAUGUGAAUAACGUUUUGUACUUCAUAAUAAAUCAAGGUGUAUGCACAGGCACAUGGCUCUGUUUAUAAACUUGUUAAAAAUGACUCUGCCAGGCAUGCAGAUUUUUCUUUUCUAAGUGGUGACGAUGUUAGUUAAUUCAAAUGUCUAUGGACCUCACAAGGUUGCUUGCUAAUGCAUGUUGUGAAAAUUCGAAAGCUAUGUAUAUAGAAUGAAUCAAAUAGAUAUUUUUUCUGAUGAA